rnacentral:rRNA from 1 species
AUGCCGUCCAUUGACAAGGCCACCGACAACGGCGAGAUGAAGAAGCGGCAGCCGGAGCAGGAGCUGGUCUGCGUCACGGGCGCCGGAGGCUUCAUCGGCUCCUGGGUCGUGAAGGAGCUCCUCCUCCGCGGCUACCGCGUCAGGGGAACCGCCAGGGACCCCGCUGACCGCAAGAACGCGCACUUGCUGGCUCUGGAGGGCGCCGAGGAGAGGCUCACCUUGUGCCGCGCCGACGUCCUCGACUACGACGGCCUCCGCGCCGCCUUCCAUGGCUGCCACGGCGUCUUCCACGUCGCGUCCCCUGUCUCCAAUGACCCCGACCUUGUACCGGUCGCCGUCGAGGGAACUAAGAACGUGAUCAGAGCGGCGGGGGACGCCGGCGUGCGGCGUGUGGUGUUCACGUCGUCCUACGGCGCCGUGCACAUGGACCCCAACCGCAGCCCCGACGCCGUGCUCAACGAGACUUGCUGGAGCGACUACGAGUACUGCAAAAACACAGGCAACUUGUACUGUUGUGCGAAAAUGAUGGCUGAGAUCACGGCGACGGAGGAGGCCGCCAAGAGGGGUCUGGAGCUGGCGGUGGUGGUGCCGUCCAUGACCAUGGGCCCCAUGCUACAGCAGUCGCUCAACUUCAGCAGCAGCCACGUGGCCCGCUACCUCACCGGCGUCAAGCCCACCUACCCCAAUGCGGUCGCCGCCUACACCGACGUCCGUGAUGUCGCCCGCGCGCACGUCCUCGUCUACGAGCACCCUGAUGCCCGCGGCCGGUACCUCUGCAUCGGGGCCGUGCUGCACCGCGCGCACUUCCUUCAGCUCCUCGGCGACCUCUUUCCUCAGUACAACAUAACCGCCAAGUGCGAAGACGAUGGCAAGCCCAUGGCGAAGCCGUACAAGUUCUCGAACCAAAGGCUCAGGGACCUGGGGUUGGAGUUCACUCCGUUGAAACAAAGCUUGUACGAGACAGUGAUGUGCUUGCAGAAAAAGGGUCAUCUGCCUCUCCCCAUUGUUCCCAUAGCACAGAAGCGCGCGUACUUAUAA